rnacentral:rRNA from 1 species
UACGUAGGGAGCGAGUGUUGUCCGGAUUUAUUGGGCGUAAAGCGCGCGUAGGCGGCUCGGUAAGCCGGAUGUGAAACCUCCAAGCUCAACUUGGAGCGGCCAUUCGGAACUGCUGUGGCUAGAGUCUGGUAGGGGAACACGGAAUUCCUGGUGUAGCGGUGAAAUGCUUAGAUAUCAGGAGGAACACCAGUGGCGAAGGCGGUGUUCUGGGCCAGUACUGACGCUGAGGCGCGAAAGCGUGGGGAGCGAACAGG